GUGAAAGCAAUUUCACAUUGUGUCACAAUUGAAAAUGGAUUCAUCUCUUAAUUCUGUGUGUCCUUGCAUAUUUUUAAGAAAUUAAUAUUCUUUACGUCCACAAUUUAGGUCAAAGAUAAAAUUUCUGCUACAUUAGUUCAUUAUAAAAUUUAUAAUGUGCAGAUAGUUUGUAUCGUAAUUGGUCUAUAAUCAACUGAAGUAGAGUCAAUACAAUGCACCGUUGAACUAAAUUGACUCAAAGCUCACACUCAAUUGAGCUUUAUAUUUUAUGUUCAAACAUGUUUCAAUAUAGUACUCGAGUUGCUUGAGUUUAGUAUGACUCAUCUUGAUUACCGCAACAAAUUCAAUUCAAGUUUUUAACUGACCUGGAAUUAACUUUCUAAUAAACUCAAGUAAGUUUCUUAAGUUAUUGUUUAAAUUAGAAGGUAGGGUUCCAAGCUACAUGAGUUAUGUAUUGUAAUACUCAAGCUAGAAUUGACUCAUUACUUGAGUUAUUUGAGUUCAAGCUCAACCUAACUACUGUCAAAUUCAAAAAGUUUGCAAGUCAAGUUCAAUGAGCCCACAAGUAGCUUAGCUCACUUGCUCACCCUAACCAUGUAGUUAAGGAAGCUCAUGAUCUAAUAGUUUUGUUGGUUACGAUGUUACUUCUUUUCAAUUCUUGCUCUUAACAUAACUUUAAAU
rnacentral:misc_RNA from 1 species